GAUGAACGCUGGCGGCGUGCCUAAUACAUGCAAGUCGAGCGAACGGACGAGAAGCUUGCUUCUCUGAUGUUAGCGGCGGACGGGUGAGUAACACGUGGAUAACCUACCUAUAAGACUGGGAUAACUUCGGGAAACCGGAGCUAAUACCGGAUAAUAUUUUGAACCGCAUGGUUCAAAAGUGAAAGACGGUCUUGCUGUCACUUAUAGAUGGAUCCGCGCUGCAUUAGCUAGUUGGUAAGGUAACGGCUUACCAAGGCAACGAUGCAUAGCCGACCUGAGAGGGUGGUCGGCCAGACUGGAACAGAGACACGGUCGAGACUCCGGCGGGAGGCAGCAGUAGGGAAUCUUCCGCAAGGGGGGGAAGCCUGACGGAGCAACGCGGCGUGAGUGAUGAAGGUCUUCGGAUCGGAAAGCUCUGUUAUUAGGGAAGUACAUAUGUGUAAGUACCUGUGCACAUCUUGACGGUACCUAAUCAGAAAGCCACGGCUAACUACGUG
rnacentral:rRNA from 1 species